AUGAGGAAACCUGGUAACGAGGGCCCCCGUUGUCCCCAGUGUCACCCAGUGUCCCCUUGGUGUCACCCAGUGUCACCCAAUGUCCCCUUGGUGUCACCCGGUGUCACCCGUUGUCCCCAGUGUCACCCAAUGUCCCCUUGGUGUCACCCAGUGUCACCCAGUGUCACCCGAUGUCACCCAUUGUCACCCAAUGUCCCCUUGGUGUCACCUGGUGUCACCCAUUGUCACCCAGUGCCACCCAAUCUCCCCUUAGUGUCACCCAAUGUCCCCUUGGUGACACCCGGUGUCACCCGAUGUCACCCAUUGUCACCCAAUGUCCCCUUUGUGUCACCUGUUGUCACCCAGUGUCACCCAAUGUCCCUUUGGUGUCACCCAAUGUCCCUUUGGUGUCACCCGGUGUCACCCAGUGUCACCCAUUGUCACCCAAUGUCCCCUUGGUGUCACCCGUUGUCACCCAGUGUCACCCAAUGUCCCCUUGGUGUCACCCGGUGUCACCUAUUGUGCUUCAGUGUCACCCAUUGUCCCCUUAGUGUCACCCCUUGUCACCCCUUGUCACCCAGUGUCCCUUCAGUGUCACCCACUGUCCCCCCACUGUCACCCCACUGUCACUCAAUGUCACCCACCGUCCCUUCAGUGUCACCCAGUGUCACCUAUUGUCCCUCAGUGUCACCCAUUGUCCCUUCAUUGUCACCCGUUGUCCCCCCGUUGUCACCCACUGUCACCCAGCGUCCCCUCAUUGUCACCCCUUGUCCCUUCAUUGUCACCUGUUGUCACCCAUUGUCACCCCACUGUCACCCCACUGUCACCCAUGGGUGUCCCCUGGGUUGGGAUUUUGGGGUUCCUCGGGGCUCUCUGUCCCCUCUUUGUCACCCGUUGUGUCCCCAAAUGUCCCCAAACGACCCCAAGUGUCCUUAAACGGCCCCAAAUGCCCCCAAAGUAGCCCCAAAUG
ensembl:lncRNA